rnacentral:rRNA from 1 species
GACGAACGCUGGCGGCGUGCCUAAUACAUGCAAGUCGAACGCUGAAGGAAGGAGCUUGCUCUUUCUGGAUGAGUUGCGAACGGGUGAGUAACGCGUAGGUAACCUGCCUGGUAGCGGGGGAUAACUAUUGGAAACGAUAGCUAAUACCGCAUAAAAUUGAUUAUUGCAUGAUAGUCAAUUAAAAGGUGCAACUGCACCACUACCAGAUGGACCUGCGUUGUAUUAGCUAGUUGGUGGGGUAACGGCUCACCAAGGCGACGAUACAUAGCCGACCUGAGAGGGUGGUCGGCCACACUGGGACUGGGGCCCGGCCCAGACUCCUACGGGAGGCAGCCGUAGGGAAUCUUCGGCAAUGGGCGGAAGUCUGACCGAGCAACGCCGCGGGAGUGAAGAAGGGUUUCGGAUCGUAAAGCUCUGUUGUAAGAGAAGAACGAGUGUGAGAGUGGAAAGUUCACACUGUGACGGUAGCUUACCAGAAAGGGACGGCUAACUACGUG